UUGUCUCUGUCCUCGAGUCUCAUCUCUGUGUUUCCCCUUUUCUCGAGCUUGGGAUCGAGACGCUAGUCAGAUGCGAGAGAGGAGUGGAGGCGGCGGAGGGAUGCGUCGACGGAGGAGGUUUUUAACGGAGGGUGAGGUCUUGAUGGGAAGAGGAAGAGAUGAAGGAAGCGGCGGAGCAUGGAGCUCCUUAACCUUCUCCACCACUCUGUGGUCUCCGCUCACCUGCAAUCGAACACGGUCACGGCGGCGCCUCUUGUCCACUCUCGAGCAUCACCGCCGUGUCUCUCCUCAUCAAUCCGCUGUGCUCUGUCGCUAUUAAGCUUGUGAUGUUGUUAUAGUGGAAGACGAUGACAAGAAUGCUGCUGGGAAAGGAA